AACGUAGGAGACAAACGUUAUCCGGAGUUACUGGGCGUAAAGGGCGUGUAGGUGGUAGAGUAAGUCUGGCGUGAAAUUUUUCGGCUUAACCGGGAAAGGUCGUCGGAUACUGCUCAACUAGAGGAUGGUAGAGGCGUGUGGAAUUCCGGGUGUAGUGGUGAAAUGCGUAGAGAUCCGGAGGAACACCAGUGGCGAAGGCGACACGCUGGGCCAUACCUGACACUGAUGCGCGACAGCAUGGGGAGCAAACAGG
rnacentral:rRNA from 1 species